rnacentral:rRNA from 1 species
AUUGAACGCUGGCGGCAUGCCUUACACAUGCAAGUCGAACGGCAGCACGGGUGCUUGCACCUGGUGGCGAGUGGCGAACGGGUGAGUAAUAUAUCGGAACGUACCUUAUUGUGGGGGAUAACGCAGCGAAUGCUGUGCUAAUACCGCAUAAUCCCGAAGGGGGAAAGCGGGGGACCGUAAGGCCUCGCGCAAUUAGAGCGGCCGAUACCUGAUUAGCUAGUUGGUGAGGUAAAGGCUCACCAAGGCAACGAUCAGUAGCUGGUCUGAGAGGACGAUCAGCCACACUGGGACUGAGACACGGCCCAGACUCCUACGGGAGGCAGCAGUGGGGAAUUUUGGACAAUGGGGGCAACCCUGAUCCAGCAAUGCCGCGUGAGUGAAGAAGGCCUUCGGGUUGUAAAGCUCUUUUGUCAGGGAAGAAACAGCAGCUCUAACACAGUUUGCGAAUGACGGUACCUGAAGAAUAAGCACCGGCUAACUACGUGCCAGCAGCCGCCGUAA